AACAAAAGAAAAAAGUUCUUUAGAGUUGCCUUUUAAAAAUUACAUGGCACGCAAGAAAAGUUAGAGGAUUUUGGCUAAGACAAGGAUCCCCACACCACACCCACCACCACAUCAUGUGCUUUGGAUAUAAUAUCAAAGCCUCCCAUUAUCCUGAAUGACUGAGGGAGGCACAUGCCUUCUUAGCAUUUCUUUAAUGAAAAAAAAUAUAUAUGAACAUCAAUCUUAACCCUACUUGCAUUUCGAAUGGUACAUUGAGCGUUAGGUGCUGUUUCAAGAGACAUGUAGGCAAGUGCUAUGGUGCCUAGCUAGAUCUCUCCCAUCUCUUCAUGUUACCUCAAUUCCAUUAUUUCAUUUCAUUCUGUAAUUUUCUUUCCAAUUUUGUAGCCAACCAAGUUCUCAGACAUGCAAAGUAGGGGUUUGAAAUUGUUUGUUAUUGAUGGAUAAUGCUGAGCUGAAGAUAGAUACUACAAGAGACAAGCUUGAUCAAGCCUACCAUCUUAUUAUUGCGGCUGUAAACACAAUAAUAGCGCCGUCUCAAUCACAUGCAGCAACUUGCAAAGUAGGGUGAAGAAUAGCCUCUUUGAAAAUUCAUCUUCCAUUGCUAUACAUGGGGUAUUUACAAGUUACAGAGGAUGAUAAAAGAAGCCUCAAACACUCUCAACCUCUGACAAGCUUUUGCUCAUCGGGCCGGUGUGUUCCAAUUACAUGAAAUUAGUAAAAAUUUACACUUUCAAAAAAAGCUAAAUCUCUUACACAUUUGUAUCACAAAAUUUGCCCUCCAUCUGGUUUUGAACAGCUUUGACAGCUGCAACUCUAGCAGCAGUGGCUGCUCUAUUUGCAGCCUGAACUGCCUUGUUCACUUGUUCAUCCACCGGACGAAGGUGAAUGGCACCUUCGGCUGUUUUUCUAGCAGCCUACAUUUUAGAAAAAUGAAAUGAUCGAAAAGCAUGAGAAGUAUGCGAUAUUUUGUCAUUGACUAUUAACAAGGGAAAUUGAGAGUGCAAAUCAAAUAACCUGAACGGCUCUAAGGACAGAAUCAGUUAGUAGAGGCACAGGGCUCUUAAGGACACCACCAUCCCAUUCACCACAUUUUGCAUCGCCAUUUCUGAAAGUAUACAUGCCAUAACCUUGCUUCCGGCCUUCAUGCCAUGACCCUUCAUAGCAGUGGCCAUUGGCAAAAUGAUAUACACCAAAGCCGUGGAUUUUAUCUCCAAAAUAUUCACCAGCAUAUCUAUCUCCAUUUCUGAAAUGGUAAACCCCAAUGCCAUGCUUGACGCCGCACUUGAAUUCACCCAAGUAGCAGCUUCCAUCAGAGCAAGUCUGCACUCCAACACCAUGGCUCUGCCCAUUACACCAUUCACCAGCAUAAGAAUCGCCUGUGUAAAACUUAUAAACCCCAUAUCCAUGCCUUAAACCUUGUCUAUACUGCCCUCUAUAUCUACUCCCUCUAGCCCAAUUCUCUAUGCCGUACCCAUCAUAUCUCCCGUCAAUCCAAUCACCCUCGUAUCUCCCAUUGACUAAGUAGUUAUAAACCCCACUACCACUACAUUUCCCUUUGUGAAAUUCUCCUUCAUAGAAAUCCCCAUUGCUAUAGAAUUCCACUCCUUCUCUUAUAAUACUCUUCUCCUUCCGGAUUUUACUUUUGCUAUCAGCAUUUGACUCGCCAAUAAACCAUUGAACGGGCUUCGAUUUGGCUCUCGAAGUGCAAAGACCGAGUCUUUUUGUGUUUGCUUCCCAUAAUUGCUUGAUUAUGGUCAAAUUCUGGUUGAUUAAGUUCUUGUUCUUGCUUGCAAAGAAAAGCGUUACAGCUAUGAAAAUCAAAGCUAAUAAAAGAUUCUCUGAUGUGAGUAUUUCUUCUCUUCUCAAAUAAAAGAAGAAAAAGAAGCAGAGCGACAAGACUGUGAAGAAAAUAAACGAAACCAUCGUGAGAACAGGCGCGAACCGAGCCGAACCGGUCCUUCUCGGAGUCGAACCUGACCGAUGCGGCUUUCUUUUCUCUUCUCUUAUUUUCUCUUCUAAUUCUUGUUUUUGUUGUUGCUGUUGUAGCUGCUUCUGCUCCGGUUUGAUAAGGUCCUCCUCUGCUACAGAAGUUAGGCUGUGGAUGGACGAUCGGACAGUGGGGAGAGAACGGAGAAGUGACGAAUGGUUUCUCGUGAGCUUCGCUUGGCUUUUUUGGCCGUCCAUUUCUUGGCGUAGGUCCCAAGGAGAUCCAAUCUCCGCCGUUUAAAACCCACCGCCUUAAUCUCCUAGUAGUCUGCCAUAUACCUCGAGAUUCUGAUAAUCGUUGGUGUAACUGUUCCCGCCGGCGACAUAUCUCAGGGGGCGCACGUUAAGCAGUGGCAAAGCGCGCACGCUAGCACACUCAAGAAAACACAGAAACUAGAAAGAAAG
rnacentral:misc_RNA from 1 species